rnacentral:lncRNA from 1 species
UAAUUUCUUCUCGAAUGUACUUAAAAACAUAUUUAAUUCGUUCCCAAACACAAAAACCAUUAGUGUAAUUAUUACUGUAGUCAUCGUUUUAUGAAUAUAUUAACAAUGAAACUAUUUGUCGCAGUAUUUCUUUUAACAGCUUGCGUAUGUGUCGCAAUGGCUGGUGAAGAUGAUUGUCCUCCAGAAAACCCUCCUUGCAAUCCAUUGUUGUGCCCAAUUCCUGGUUGUUCACCCGAUUCCGUUCUGAAGAAAAGAAAUCCCUGUGAUUGUUGCGAAAGUUGUUAUACUCCUAAAAAACAAGGUGAACCUUGCGGAGACCCACGAUUUGCUUGUAUUGAUGGACUUCGGUGUAAAAAUGACGUUUGUGUCUAAAAAGUGUCUUUAUUAAAACUUCACAAUGCUGUGUACUUGAUAGCUAAAUAACACAGAUAAUUAUAGAAUUUUUUUUCAAACUCUGUAUAGCAUUUAAAAAUAUUGUUAUUAAUCAACAAAUAAAUAUUGAAAAUUA